GGGUUGAGCGGCAUGGAUGCCGCGAGAGGCGCGAUCUGGCCAUGGAUGGCCAGUCGCGCCGUGCCC
rfam:Pseudomonas sp. FeS53a scaffold13.1, whole genome shotgun sequence.